rnacentral:rRNA from 1 species
CCUACGGGAGGCAGCAGUGAGGAAUAUUGGUCAAUGGGCGGAAGCCUGAACCAGCCAAGUAGCGUGCGGGAUAAAUGCCCUACGGGUCGUAAACCGCUUUUGCACGGGGAUAACACCCUCCACUUGUGGAGGUCUGCAUGUACCGUGCGAAUAAGGGCCGGCUAAUUCCGUGCCAGUAGCCGCGGUAAUACGGAGGACCCGAGCGUUAUCCGGAUUUAUUGGGCUUAAAGGGAGCGUAGAGGGGCGUUCAAGUCAGCUGUAAAAUCGGGCGGCUCAACCGCACCCUGCAGUUGAAACUGGAAGUCUUGAGUACACAACAGGCAGGCGGAAUUCGUGGUGUAGCGGUGAAAUGCAUAGAUAUCACGAAGAACCCCGAUUGCGAAGGCAGCCUGCCGAGGUGCGACUGACGCUGAGGCUCGAAGGUGCGGGUAUCAAACAGGAUUAGAUACCCGAGUAGUC